CAAAUAUUUCUGGCUAUUUUGGGAGUAGAAUAGUUAUGGGUUGGGUUCAGGGCCCAUUACCCUCCCAUCCCAGCCAAUGAAAAUAUUAUUAACCAGGUUAUUCUGUUUUCCGACUUAAACGUGGCAGGGUCCAAAAUACAAUCCCUGCAAUUGGUUGGCCCAUCAAGACGGUUGACAUGUCUAACAACAAAAUUUUCAACUGUUUCUGUUUUACAACCGUCAUGGUUCAAUCUUGCACAUUCAAAAACGUUACUACCCUUUCCCACUCAUAGAGCCCAAACUUAAUAUUAUUUAUUUAUCCAUUAAUGCCAAAAUAUGCAUCAACAUAUGUG
rnacentral:misc_RNA from 1 species